CUACAUAAUCCAAGCACGGCGAUAGAUCCGAAGGUAUGUUUGGAAUCAUAAUUUUUCUUGUGAAUUUAGCAUUUAUGAUUGAAAUAACAAAAAGUAUUAACAUUUACACAUUUCUUUAUUUCUUGUAGCUUGAAGUUUAUGAUCUCAUUAGGCAGAGUAAGAGAAGCAUCACUUUGCCUUUAGGAUUCUGUGAUGCUUCUGAGUAGGUUGAUUAAGGCAGAUGACUUCAUGAGGUGCUGCAAGAUAACAAGUUGAGGUGUGUGGCAGACUGACUACUUUGUCAUAUUGUCGCCUAUAGGCCUUUGUGAUUUACUUACUAUCUGAUGCGUACAAAUUUCAAGGCCUAGACACCGAUAGCUGUCAUUAGCCGUUAGUGCUGAGAAUGCUCCGGUGUAAUAUCUUGUCUACACACUGGACCAUCCGGUGAGUAGCAUCUCUUUUGAGCCGAAGACAAAUCUCCUGGAAAAUGCUCUGAUGUUACAUCUCAUUGAACACCGGAUCAUCCGGUGUAUUGAACACUAUCUUCUGAAAAUUUACACAAGUACUGUAAAAUACUAUGGCGUUCUCAUCACUCUAACACUGAACCAUCUGGUGUUGACUUCAUCUUUUUUGAGCUACGUCACCAGAAAAAUGCUCCAAUAUGAGUAACUUUUUUAUCACUA